rnacentral:lncRNA from 1 species
CUCCCGUUAUACUCGGUCCCUCCCUAUCCAGGGACGCAUGACGUCCUCCCGAUGGGGCAAAUCUGGCUCUGCCAGGUAAUGGGUUACGAGUCCCUCCGCUGCCAUCCCUCCCCCCACCCCACGCCAGGCCCUCUCGUGUGAGUUUUGCCAAUCUUCCUGAAGCUUCACAAGUCUCCCUGCCCAGAAAGCCCCGAUCACCGUUUUCUGGGCUCCUAGUUGCUGAAAGAUUAUCUGGGGCGUAUUUAGGCAUCCCCGGCCCCCAGAGUUGGGCUGACGUCCACGAGCCGAGGACUGCCGUGGGCAUGGCAGCAGCCUGCUCUUCCGAGUCCCGGGAGCAGCUCCAGACCCCCACGCCUGUCUUCCUCGAAAGCAGGGGUCAAGCCGGCGGGUAGCUGUGAUGGACUCAAUCCCAUGGGAGAGGCGGGUUUGGCUGUAGCGCCCCCUUCUCGGGUGGCGGCAAAGUGAAAUUACAUAAAGAGGCCUUUCAGCUCAGAAAUGAAGGUAGCUCUGGAAAAAAAUGACAGCUUGAGUUGGCUGUUUUCGUGCAGUCAGACACACACACAGUUGUUCUUAUUUUCAUCAUGGGAGUCAAUACUAUUAAUAAUUGCAACCACUCUGCUCCUUGGCUUCCCCGUUUCAAAGGGGGAUUAUAAUGCUAUUUAUCUUAUCAAGUUGGUGGUGGUCUGAUGAGCUCCUUAUCUAUAACAAGCAGGUAACACUGUCCUUCUGAAUGGCUUGUGACCUGUAUCCUUGUGCCCACCUUCAGCAGGUGCACCCGACCUUCACCUGGAGUAAGUGUCUGUGCCAUAGCCAUGCAUUGACUUGUAUGAAUUUAUGGGAGUGGACAUGUGCAGCCCAGAACUUUUGAGAAAGAGCAGGGCAGAGUUAGCGCCUUAUCAAACAAGGUAGCUUUUACAAGAACUUCAAAACAUGUUCCCAGAGUUAGAAGAUUUAUUCUAAGGUCUGCACAAAAUUGAAUUAUUCUGGUCGUUCAGAUUGGAAGGAUGGUGGCCUCAGUGGUGUUCCAGGAUGAUCUACAACACAUUUGAGAGUGCAUGUGCAUUCUUCACAACUUUAAGAGGACUUAGAUGCAGUUUAAACAAAUCAAAGGUUAAAUCGCCUAUGUGAACCCUGAGCUCCCAAAGACCACAUCUUGAAAACCACUCUGUCCAUUCUCCCAGCAGACUUUCCCUGUAAAGGGCCAGAGGGUGGUAUAUCUUUCAGCCUUGCAUCUACUCACCUCUGUCAUGGUAGCAUGAGAGCAGCCCUAGGUCAUAGGUGCACAAAUGAGCAAAGUGGUGUUCCGAUAAAACUUUAUUUAUAAAAACAAGUGCCAUAUGGAAAUUAAUGUAUUCAUCUUAAUAAGGCUCUUAUGUGUAGGUAUGUUGAUAGCUUCAUCACACAUCUUUACCAGUGAGGAAGUUGAGGAACAAGGGAAUUAAGUACUUUGGCCGAGGUCAUGCUGCUAAUAAGUGAUAGAAACAGGUCUUCACCUCAGCCCGUCUGCCUUGGGUCAGUACAUUUAGCCACUAUUCUAUGCUGCCUCCUUUAGUCUCAGUGCAAAUAAUGGUAUUCUUUAUAAGAAAGUCAUUCAAGCCUUUCAAUUUCUGUCAUGUACCUAUAAAGACAACCUUAUAAAAAUAAUAUUUGUUGAUCAUUAACCAAAAAAGAGAAUGCUUGGUCUUUAUGGAUGCCAGUGGUUUGGGGUUGCUUCCUGGUCAUAUAACCAGUGAAGAGCCAGAAGAUUCUGCACUCAGAAGGGGAAAUCACGCUUGAGGUUUAAUGCUUUUGGUCACCAUCUUCAAAUCCUUAAUCUUAUCUUUAAAUUUGUGCUUUGUAAGUCCGACAGGACUUACUUCAUAACUUACUUCAGUUAUGUCAGGGACUUGGAGCUUUGGCUCCCACUAGUUCCUGCCUUCUGCUAUCUGUUUGCCUUCCUGGGUGGGUUCUGGCAGCCCACUUCCAGGCACUGCCCAAUGAUGGUAGGGGCCUCGACCUGGGGGACUCACCCCACCAGCAUCCCCAUCUCAAGGGAGCACAACAUUAAAACACAAAUUAGAUGGGAAUUCCCAUUGAGGCUCAGCGGCUUAAGAAACUGACUAGGAACCAUGAGGAUGCAGGUUCGAUCCCUGGUCUCUUUCAGUGGGAUCUGGUGUUGCCAUGAGCUGUGGUGUAGGUUGCAGAGGUGGCUUGGAUCCCACAUUGCGGAGGCUGUGGUGAAGGCCUGCAGCUGUAGCUCUGAUUUGACCCCUAGCCUGGGAACUUGCAUAUGCUGCAGGCACAGCCCUAAAAAGAAAAAAAAAAGCCCACAAAUAAGAAAACACCAUGAUCGAUGGAAAGAAGGACUGUGCAAGAAAGCAAGAGAUGGUUUCCUUUUUUGUGUGGGAGCCCCACCUUUUCGUUUUGCACUGGGCCUCAGACAUCAUGUAGCUGGUCCUCUAGGAGUCUCAACAGAACCAUCACUGGGCCCCACCCCAGGCCUGCUGAGUCAGAAUCUUCAUUUUUACAAGAGCCUCAGGUGAUUCCUUGAGAUGCACAGCCCCAAAGAUGGCUUCCUCAUGUGACUCCGAGGCUCAGCCAGCUCUGAGAUCCACUGCGCUGGUGUAUGCUUCCCAGCCUCACCUGGUGAUCGUAAUCACUUGGGGCACGUUUUGAAAAGCAGGGUCCAUUCCCCCCCCUGCCCCGUCCCCCCCGCCCCUGGCUCCAUCCUAUUUUCUGAGACUCCAGAGGAGGGCUCUGAGAAUAUGUAUUUUUAACAAGCACUCCAGAUGACCCUUCUUACCCCGCAAGUUUGGAGAACACUUUAUAAAUGACACUAAGACCUAGAAGCAUCCCAAACACCUAACUUGUAUCCAUAUCUGUCACUCACCUGCAGGCCCUGGCUUAACCUCGCUUAUAAUUUAUAAGCAUUUUAACUAGAGCUGCUUCAUCUCAAGCAUCUGUAUGUUUGCAGGUAGCAGUUAAGAGCCAUUUUGGUGGAUUACAAUGAAAAGGCAAGUGUGUGUGUUGGGGAGGCCUGGCAUCAUAAAGAUAUCAAGAUAAAGCAAGACAGCCAGGCCCCUGGGGGUUACUUUGGGCAACGUCUGUUGACAUUGGAAAGAUCAAGAGGAAGACAAAGAGCAGUGCUUUUAUCCAGCAGUUGUGUGUGCACUGGACCUUCUCAAAACCCUUGGGCCAUUGUGUGAUGGUGGCCAGAGGGUCCACAGAAUAUUAGAUGACAUCAGGGAUGAACCAAGAAUGGCAGGACCUUGUCCUGUACAAAAUCACAGGGCAUCUGGAUCUGGGAUACAGGCGGGUGGCUGCCACUGUACCCCCAAAGCAGACAAAAAGUCUGGAAAGCAGCUGAGUCCUACAAGGAAGCUGCUCUUUUUGGUGGGAGGUGCAGUGGGCGGCCACCCUCACCCCCCCGACCCAACCCUGCAAAGUUAGGCUAAAAUAGCUAGAACUUUUCUGUCCCAAGCACAGACUGUGCACGGAAGCAUUAAAGAAGGGGCUGCAGAUUCCAAAGCUUCCAGGGGCCACGACAGGACAGCUGGUGACAGGUCCCCUCUCAAGGGGAUGAGCCCUCAGUUCAAGCCAGUCGUUGCCACGUGGGGAUGUGGGCUCAGCAUUUCUUGGGAUUCUGGUUUUUUGUUUUUGUUUUUGAGAGAAGCCUGAAACCUGGAUUUUCAUAUUUUUAAAAUAAUGGCUAUGAUUUUUCAAUUUAAGAAAAGUCCCAGGGUCCUCACUUGUGAGCUGGGGACAGAAUGUAGUAUGAAUAGCUCUAGCUUUACCUGCCCUGAGCUCCCUGUCCCCUUUAGCUCAUGACAAACCCAUUUUCUCUUGGAACUGCUCUCCUCUCCACUCCUGGGGUUCGGCUGGGACCGACCCGGCCCCCAUCCCAGGGAACCAGGAACCUCGUGGAUUAGAUCAUCGACUUCUCCCUGGGCAGCGUGAUGUGUUUACAUCAUGUGUGCUCAGUCCUGAACGAGCAGGUGUCCCAUUUCCCCCAUCUGCAGGGACUGGUUCAGGGAUGUGUGUGCAGGAGCCUUGUCUGGUCCAGUGGGAUGCAGUUCUAGAACUUUUAUCCCAGUGUUGGGAAGAAGAGAGAUCUGAUCUUUCUACAGAACCUGAAGUGGGUGGACCAUAUACAACCCAAGCACUGCUGGGAGGCACCAGGUGGACAGAACGUGGCGGCGGGGCGGGGUGGGGGACGGGGACGGUGGGGGAGCUAGUGUUGAGGAGACGGAGCUGCGAGAUGGACAGAGUCUCAUGCUCUUGCUGGAGCGUCCCCAUCCAUCCCUGCCCGAGGCCAGCCGCAUGAGGGACCUUUCAGUUUUGUUAGCCAGUCGUUUUCAUCUCUUUGGAUGUCAUUUUGGAAGCCUUUCUUUUUUUUCUAGUAAGCCAGUUUAAACGGAAGUCAAGUCCCUUGAAUAUGAAGAAAAUUGACAGUCGUUGGAAUAGUUCUUCCACUUUGGGGUUGGGGAUUGUUGGGAAGAUUAAAUCAGAUAAUCCAGGUGCAGUCCUCAGCCUGGUGCUGAGCUGGUAAGUGCCUGAUGAACGCUAGCUACUCUAGUUCUUAUUGGGAAGAGAAAAUGGAGACUCGGGUUAUUUUUUCAGGAUUGAAACUGACCUGAAAAGGGCUUAUGGUGACACCAGGGAGACCUACGAUUGUAGAACUCCGCUGUCAGCUUGUAUGCCU